UACAGAGGUCUCAAGCGUUGUUCGGAUUCAUUGGGCGUAAAGGGUGCGUAGGCGGCGCGGUAGGUCGGGUGUGAAAUCUUGGAGCUUAACUCCGAAACUGCAUUCGAUACUGCCGUGCUUGAGGACUGGAGAGGAGACUGGAAUUUACGGUGUAGCGGUGAAAUGCGUAGAUAUCGUAAGGAAGACCAGUGGCGAAGGCGAAUCUCUGGACAGUUACUGACACUGAGGCACGAAGGCCAGGGGAGCAAACGGG
rnacentral:rRNA from 1 species